rnacentral:lncRNA from 1 species
UCAAUUCUUCUGGAACUAAUAUAUUGGUGGUUGCUUCAGUAUCUUCAGAGCUUACAAAAAGGAGUUGAAAUGGGAGAAAUUUGGAAAUGUGAACAGCCUGCCAGCUGGAUCUGAUCAUGCAACAGACCUAGCUCACUGUACAUGUUUCAAUUGUCUCUGUACAUAAAAUACGAGCCAUGGCUGCUGUUAGAACAAACCAGUGGAAGCUCCCCAGAGCAGUGGACCAGCUCUGCGUCUGACUGA